AGUGAACGCUGGCGGUAGGCCUAACACAUGCAAGUCGAACGGCAGCACAGCGGAGCUUGCUCCUUGGGUGGCGAGUGGCGGACGGGUGAGGAGUACAUCGGUAUCUACUCUGUAGUGGGGGAUAACGUAGGGAAUCUUACGCUAAUACCGCAUAGGACCUACGGGUGAAAGCAGGGGAUCUUCGGACCUUGCGCGAGUGAAUGCGACGAUGUCGGAUUAGCUAGUUGGCGGGGUAAAGGCUCACCAAGGCGACGAUCCGUAGCUGGUCUGAGAGGAUGAUCAGCCACACUGGAACUGAGACACGGUCCAGACUCCUACGGGAGGCAGCAGUGGGGAAUAUUGGACAAUGGGCGCAAGCCUGAUCCAGCCAUACCGCGUGGGUGAAGAAGGCCUUCGGGUUGUAAAGCCCUUUUGUUGGGAAAGAAAUCCAUCUGGUUAAUACCCGGGUGGGAUGACGGUACCCAAAGAAUAAGCACCGGCUAACUUCGUGCCAGCCGCCGCGGUAA
rnacentral:rRNA from 1 species